UGGGGAAUUUUGGACAAUGGGGGAAACCCUGAUCCAGCCAUCACGCGUGUGCGAUGAAGGCCUUCGGGUUGUAAAGCAAUUUUGGCAGGAAAGAAACGUCAUGGGUUAAUACCCCGUGAAACUGACGGUACCUGCAGAAUAAGCACCGGCUAACUACGUGCCAGCAGCCGCGGUAAUACGUAGGGUGCAAGCGUUAAUCGGAAUUACUGGGCGUAAAGCGUGCGCAGGCGGUUCGGAAAGAAAGAUGUGAAAUCCCAGAGCUCAACUUUGGAACUGCAUUUUUAACUACCGGGCUAGAGUGUGUCAGAGGGAGGUGGAAUUCCGCGUGUAGCAGUGAAAUGCGUAGAUAUGCGGAGGAACACCGAUGGCGAAGGCAGCCUCCUGGGAUAACACUGACGCUCAUGCACGAAAGCGUGGGGAGCAAACAGG
rnacentral:rRNA from 1 species